AGUGAACGCUGGCGGUAGGCCUAACACAUGCAAGUCGAACGGCAGCACAGUAAGAGCUUGCUCUUACGGGUGGCGAGUGGCGGACGGGUGAGGAAUACAUCGGAAUCUACUUUUUCGUGGGGGAUAACGUAGGGAAACUUACGCUACUACCGCAUACGACCUACGGGUGAAAGCAGGGGAGCUUCGGACCUUGCGCGAUUGAAUGAGCCGAUGUCGGAUUAGCUAGUUGGCGGGGUAAAGGCCCACCAAGGCGACGAUCCGUAGCUGGUCUGAGAGGAUGAUCAGCCACACUGGAACUGAGACACGGUCCAGACUCCUACGGGAGGCAGCAGUGGGGAAUAUUGGACAAUGGGCGCAAGCCUGAUCCAGCCAUACCGCGUGGGUGAAGAAGGCCUUCGGGUCGUAAAGCCCUUUUGUUGGGAAAGAAAAGCAGCAGGUUAAUACCCCGCUGUUCUGACGGUACCCAAAGAAUAAGCACCGGCUAACUUCGUG
rnacentral:rRNA from 1 species